rnacentral:rRNA from 1 species
ACUCCUACGGGAGGCAGCAGUAGGGAAUCUUCCGCAAUGGACGAAAGUCUGACGGAGCAACGCCGCGUGAGUGACGAAGGUUUUCGGAUCGUAAAACUCUGUUGUGAGGGAAGAACAAGUGCCACGUAACUACUGGCACCUUGACGGUACCUCACCAGAAAGCCACGGCUAACUACGUGCCAGCAGCCGCGGUAAUACGUAGGUGGCAAGCGUUGUCCGGAAUUAUUGGGCGUAAAGCGCGCGCAGGCGGUCCUUUAAGUCUGAUGUGAAAGCCCACGGCUCAACCGUGGAGGGUCAUUGGAAACUGGAGGA